rnacentral:rRNA from 1 species
CGGCAGCACGGGUGCUUGCACCUGGUGGCGAGUGGCGAACGGGUGAGUAAUACAUCGGAACGUACCUUAUCGUGGGGGAUAACGCAGCGAAAGUUGCGCUAAUACCGCAUACGCCCUGAGGGGGAAAGCGGGGGACCGUAAGGCCUCGCGCGAUUAGAGCGGCCGAUGUCUGAUUAGCUUGUUGGUGAGGUAAAAGCUCACCAAGGCGAUGAUCAGUAGCUGGUCUGAGAGGACGAUCAGCCACACUGGGACUGAGACACGGCCCAGACUCCUACGGGAGGCAGCAGUGGGGAAUUUUGGACAAUGGGGGCAACCCUGAUCCAGCAAUGCCGCGUGAGUGAAGAAGGCCUUCGGGUUGUAAAGCUCUUUUGUCAGGGAAGAAACGGCAGCUCUAACACAGACUGCGAAUGACGGUACCUGAAGAAUAAGCACCGGCUAACUACGUGCCAGCAGCCGCGGUAAUACGU